rnacentral:rRNA from 1 species
UACGUAGGGGGCUAGCGUUGUCCGGAUUUAUUGGGCGUAAAGAGCGUGUAGGCGGCCAGGUAGGUCUGGUGUGAAAACUCGAGGCUUAACCUCGAGAUGUCAUCGGAAACCAUCUGGCUAGAGUCCGGAAGAGGAGAGUGGAAUUCCUGGUGUAGCGGUGAAAUGCGCAGAUAUCAGGAAGAGCACCAAUGGCGAAAGCAGCUCUCUGGGACGGUACUGACGCUGAGACGCGAAAGCGUGGGGAGCGAACCGG